ACAGAGGGUGCGAGCGUUGUCCGGAAUCACUGGGCUUAAAGGGCGCGUAGGCGGCCCGCGAGGUCGGGGGUGAAAUCCCACCGCUCAACGGUGGAAGGGCCUCCGAUACCGGCGGGCUGGAGGAAGGUAGGGGUGCGCGGAACUUCUGGUGGAGCGGUGAAAUGCGUUGAUAUCAGAAGGAACGCCGGCGGCGAAAGCGGCGCACUGGACCUUUUCUGACGCUGAGGCGCGAAAGCCAGGGGAGCAAACGGG
rnacentral:rRNA from 1 species